rnacentral:rRNA from 1 species
UACGGAGGGGGCUAGCGUUGUUCGGAAUUACUGGGCGUAAAGCGCACGUAGGCGGCUUUGUAAGUUAGAGGUGAAGCCCGGGGCUCAACCCCGGAAUUGCCUUUAAGACUGCAUCGCUAGAAUUGUGGAGAGGUAAGUGGAAUUCCGAGUGUAGAGGUGAAAUUCGUAGAUAUUCGGAAGAACACCAGUGGCGAAGGCGACUUACUGGACACAUAUUGACGCUGAGGUGCGAAAGCGUGGGGAGCAACAGG